AAGCCAUGUUGCGGACAACUGCCACAUAAUUUCUUAAAUCUCUCCAAUUAUUCAUAGAGAGUUUCACCAUCUCUCUGUUGGAUUCCCAAAAUGCUUCACUUAAGUUC